rnacentral:rRNA from 1 species
AACGCGAAGAACCUUACCUGGGCUCGAAAUGCUAUGGACAGUCUGUGAAAGCAGAUCUUCCCCUUAAAAGGACCGUAGUAUAGGUGCUGCAUGGCUGUCGUCAGCUCGUGUCGUGAGAUGUUGGGUUAAGUCCCGCAACGAGCGCAACCCUUGUCCUGUGUUGCCAUCAUUCAGUUGGGCACUCGCAGGAGACCGCCAGCGAUAAGCUGGAGGAAGGUGGGGAUGACGUCAAGUCCUCAUGGCCUUUAUGUCCAGGGCUACACACGUGCUACAAUGGACGGUACAAAGCGUCGCUAACCCGCGAGGGGGAGCCAAUCGCAAAAAACCGUUCUCAGUUCGGAUUGCAGGCUGCAACUCGCCUGCAUGAAGCUGGAAUCGCUAGUAAUGGCAGAUCAGCACGCUGCCGUGAAUACGUUCCCGGGCCUUGUA